GCUUGCAGUGAGCCGAGAUUGCGUCACCGCACUCCAGCCUGGGCGACAGAGCGAGACUCCGUCUCAAAAAAAAUGACUGGACAAAAAACACUCUGAUGCAAACAGGCAAGAAACCCAGCAAGGCCUAUCUGGAUUCUCCUUGGCCUGUCUGCAGCAUUCAUUCCUUCUGGGUAUGGAACAGGACCCUCUGGAAUGGGGGCUGUGGCCUACAACAGUUAAACAAGAAUCUGAAUCUCGAAUGAUGACUGCAAGUGGUUGAAGAUCCAUCAUUACUCUUUCUUCAGAGUAUCCCUGGUUCCUGAUCAUUUCAAGGCCCAAUUUUUUACCUUUCCCUUUGAUUAUUGAACUAAAGGGCUCCCAAAAUCUCUCCUGCAGCAUUUUCCUUGAGAAGGAGGAAGGUUUGCAUCUCUGUGAGAAGAAACAUCAGAAGCAGUUGAAAGACCAGGAUGUGGGUCCUCUGGGGCUGAGGAGGCAUUCUGAAUCAACUGUGUGUUCUACACCUGUGUUUUAACUGUGACCUGUCACAUGAGGACAAGUGUGGAAUUUCCCACUUUUGUGCCAUAAAUCUCUCUCUGGGAACAGUGUGGAAGAUGGAUUGAAAUGGUGUAAAAUUGAAGAUGUGGACUCCGGUUGGGAGACUACACCCUAGAUAAGAUGAAGAGAACUUGAAGCAAGACAAUAGCAAUGGGAAUAUAAAGGAGAGGAGACAUUUGAGUGAAAUUAAGGAAGCACAAUCUGCAGACUGUUUUCUUUUUUUUAAGAGUCAGGGUCUCCCUAUUUUGCCCAGGCUGGUCUCAAAGUCCUAGGCUCAAGCGACCCACCCACCUCAGCCUUCCAAAAUGCUGGAAUUACAGGGGUGAACUGCCUCACCAUGCCUCAGUCUGCAGAAUUUGAUGACUGAAUGUAUUUGGAGAGAGUCUGUGGCUUGGAUGACUGGGAGCUGUGAUUGGUUGAUUGAUUUUGAGGCGGAGUUUCACUCUUGUUGCCCAGGCUGAAGUGCAGUGGCACAACCUCUGCUCACUGCAACCGCUGCC